rnacentral:tRNA from 1 species
GCACCCGUAGCUCAAUUGGAUAGAGUCACGGACUUCGAAUCCGAAGGUUGCAGGUUCGAGUCCUGCCGGGUGCA